GUGGCCUUCCAGACCGCUGGUAGUGGACUUGAGGCUGUCGGGAAGGAGGGGUGUGGCCUAGACCACUAAGGGCCGUGACGUGGUGCCGCUGAGCUUGGACCCCGACCAGAAGAUAGAGAUUGAAACGAUGAGGAAAACGAAGUGCCUAAUCCCCGCUGGACGCUAACUGCAGGCACCCAGAAAUACUCUCCACACCAUGCUGCACUGCUGCGGAUGAGGGAAGGAUGGUGUCGGGGCUUCAAGACUGUUUUUCCUACCUCUUCAGUGCCUCUUUCAGUGAUAUGAAGUUAAAACCAGGAACAUGGAGGAGACAUAUUUCCACCUAUUUCUCUCCAUAAGUAUAAAAGACCAUAAAAGACCAUCUAGGGACUUCAGAACCCAAAUAAUGACACAAUGUUAAUUUGCAGGUUCUCCCUCUGCCUGCCACCCCACCCAGCAAGGAGGAGAGGAAGUGUUGAGAAGGGAAGAGAUGAGUCCUGGCCCUGUCACUUCUUAGGGGUGUGCUUUUGAACAACCUGCUCACCAUGUAUGAACUUCACUCUUCUUGUUUAUAAAAUGAGGACAAUGACACCUGCAAGACUGUGAGGUUUAAAAACAAAAUCUGUGUUGAGAGGUAACUUGCCUCUUUUACUUACCAAUGAUUUCCUCAAUGCCUGGUGACUGGGGCUGGUUCAUACUAGACGAUCAAUAAAUGCUCCUUGAAUGAAUAGGUGGAUGAAAGAAAUGUCUGGCAUCUAUCACAGGUGCUGGCACUGAUAAGUGCUUGAUAAAUAGGCUGGCUGACUGUGAGUGAUGCUGACGGGCAAAGGACAGAGACACCAGGAAGGAGAACAGGACACGAAAGAUAACUGUCUCAGCCCUUGGGGAGUUUCUGACCCAGGAGGAUGGGAACAUCAAUUAUCAAUAGUUACAGAUCAUUAAAUAAUUGCAAGUGUGAGGCGCACUAUAAAGAGGAGGCUCAGAGUCCCCGCAUGCUCACACUCACACCUGGCCACAGACAGGUGACACCCCUGGCUUGCCCAGGCCAGCGGGUCUGCAAUGAGGCCAAGGACCUGGGCUCUUGAGAAGUUUUAAGUUUGAAAACAUUGCUUUUUAAGCUUAAAACAAUGAACCUUAAUAAAAGUAAACACUUCCAUUGAGCUUUGAAACACUUAAUAGGAGUUAAAAGUAAUUAGGCUAAUAAAAUAGUCUUUUGUUCCAA
ensembl:lncRNA COPB2-DT COPB2 divergent transcript